rnacentral:lncRNA from 1 species
ACUUGUUGAUUCGCCUCAUAUUUAUCCCUUUCUACAUGUUUUACAUACUUAGGUAGGUUUUAUGCAUAUCAUGCAUGUCUUGCAUACAUUGUGCAUAUAUGGAGUGUUUCAGGUACUCAGGAGACAUGCAGAGCGAAGCAGAGGAACAAGCGUUACUCGACAUGCAUAUGAUCGAGUGGGACGAUCGAGUGAGAAACAUGGAUGCAUUGCAGAAACAUACUUCAUUCGACGGACGUGAUCGAGUAGGUUGAUCGAGUAGCGGGUCGUGUGGUUGAUCGAGAAGAGUGAUCGAGUGAACCGAAGGAAUGCGAAACAACCGUCACUCGACGUGCACACUCGAGUGACUCGAUCGAGCAAAGCAGAGAAGAUGCUCACUCGAGAUGCUCACUCGACCAAUUUAGUCACAACAACUUUUGAACCGCUUUUACGUUGUCGUUUUAUGUUUUAAGGUUUUCCCAAACAUUGUUAUAAAUAGGUCUCAUUUGGAUUGCCCAAGGAGGAGAGUGAUCUUUAUUAGGUUUUUGUUGUUAGCCACCAAACGAUCCUGAGAAUUGUAAUCGUGAUUUCUUUUGAGUUAUUGAUAUUUUGCAAUCAGUUCUUGAAUCAUUGUUGUUACUCUUCCUGUCAUCUUUAUU